GACGAACGCUGGCGGCGUGCCUAAUACAUGCAAGUCGAACGAGUGGCGAACGGGUGAGUAACACGUGGGUGAUCUGCCUUGUACUUCGGGGUAAGCCUGGGAAACUGGGUCUAAUACCGGAUAGUACGAGUUGAGCCCGCGGCCUAUCAGCUUGUUGGUGGGGUAAUGGCUACUCAGGCGCGACGGGUAGCCGGCCUGAGAGGGUGUACGGCCAGAGUGGGACUGAGACACGGCCCAGCCGUCGACGGUAGUCAGCAGUGGGGAAUAUUGUGCAAUGGGCGGACGCCUGAUGCAGCGACGCCGCGUGAGGGAUGACGGCCUUCGGGUUGUGAACCACUUUCGCUAGGGAAGCGGUACCUGCAGAAGAAGCACCGGCUAACUACGUGCCAGCAGCCGCGGUAAUAC
rnacentral:rRNA from 1 species